GAAGGUUUUCGGAUCGUAAAGCUCUGUUGUUAGGGAAGAACAAGUGCCGUUCAAAUAGGGCGGCACCUUGACGGUACCUAACCAGAAAGCCACGGCUAACUACGUGCCAGCAGCCGCGGUAAUACGUAGGUGGCAAGCGUUGUCCGGAAUUAUUGGGCGUAAAGGGCUCGCAGGCGGUUUCUUAAGUCUGAUGUGAAAGCCCCCGGCUCAACCGGGGAGGGUCAUUGGAAACUGGGGAACUUGAGUGCAGAAGAGGAGAGUGGAAUUCCACGUGUAGCGGUGAAAUGCGUAGAGAUGUGGAGGAACACCAGUGGCGAAGGCGACUCUCUGGUCUGUAACUGACGCUGAGGAGCGAAAGCGUGGGGAGCGAACAGGAUUAGAUACCCUGGUAGUCCACGCCGUAAACGAUGAGUGCUAAGUGUUAGGGGGUUUCCGCCCCUUAGUGCUGCAGCUAACGCAG
rnacentral:rRNA from 1 species